UAAUCAGUAGUGGAGCACCACGGUGCCGGCCCCGGUCGCCACGGCAACGGCAUCGAUCGAGGCCUACCACGAGGUCGAAGCCGAGCUACCCUCCUGCUAAACCGCUUUUUUCUUCCUUCCCUCGACUUUCUUAUCUCCUUCGACCCCUCCCGCAUCCCGAUCUGCCGAUAGCGCUGCCCCGGCUCUCUUCCGCUCUGCUUUUCUUAACGAUUCGCACGGUCGCUUCCGCUUCCUGGCUGCCCCGGUCGUCGCGUUCAUCAGGGGAAGGCGAUUUCCCGCUGGAAGCGACGCGGAUUACCCGCCGUUUCCACGACGGCUGCGGGAGUUUUGUGCUCGCGUCGCGUAUCGAUUAUAUUGCGGAUACGCAGGAGGCUUCGAAAGUGCGUACAAUAAAUAUCGUAUAAGUAACUCCGGGGGAAUUCAGCAGUUAGAAAUGUGUGUGUGUGUGUGUGUGUGUGACACACCACCGAGAAUUCUGUAAGAUAUUCUCGUUGAGGAAAAUUUCCAAUUGAAAAUUUUCACUUCCAGUCUGGCUAAAGAGAGAAUCCGUUAAGUGCGAAGAGGAUUUAAUUUAAUAUGUCGCAUUAUUAAAUAACGCUUCUUCUACGUUGAUUAAUGAAUAUGUCGGUAAAUAUCCUUGGAGGAGAGAUACGGUAUUAUUCGUUUGAAAUAACACCUGAAUGAAAAUCUUACGUCAUUCCACACGAACGCCCUGUAUAUAGCGCAAAAUGAAUGAGAGCGCGAAUUGUGAAUUGAGUGUCAAAAAGGGCAAUGCCGCGAAGAAACGAAUAUUUCGAAAAGUUUUCCUCGAGAUGGAGUUUUGCAGAAACACUCCGCAAUGAAAACCGAGUCUUACCUAGUAACCUAUUUUACUAUAUUCGAGUGCGCUGGAUCGAUGGCCCGUUUUGUCGGAAACGCGUUCGUUUCGCAACGUCUAUACAUAUCUCUCUCUCUACCUCCCCCCUCUCUUUCUCAAACUCAGCUGGUACACUUUAAGAAAAAAUUAGUCAAUCUCAUUAAAACUGUAAUUACUUUUGACGUCAAAUAUUCUUGUUGUCCUAACAAAAAAGUAUCAAUAGGAAUACGCAAUAAGAUUAUUACCACUAAACUAUAGUAACACUUAUACUACACAAAAUGAUUUUUUACAAUAACGAUUUCAUUAUGCGAUUAUAGUUACAAGUACCAAGUUUUUUUAUCAAUGUAAAAUAUACAAUAUUUAACGUACUUCAAUUUAACAUUUCUGAAACAUUAACCAGAAAGAAUCACUUCCUAAAUUUAUAUCGUAUUCUCAAACUUCAAACCGCAAUAAAAACCUAGCCACUGAGGAGAAUAUAUUCCCUUUGAACUCUUUGGCAAUCACGCGUAUUUGAAUUGUCCGCAAAUUCUCUAUAUCGCAACAUCUAGAUUUUAAAGAGAAGUUAUCGUCGCGAGGAGGGCUUUCAGGCGUGUGCGUGAAAGCCCUUUCCCUUCGUGAUUCGCGGGACGUGGGAAAAGCUCCGAGGAGAGAGAAGGAAUCGCCGUGAGUCCGCGUGCAAUCUGUGGCGAGUCCAACGUUCGUGCAUGGCGCUCGUGACGAGGCGUUUCAAGGCUGAACUCGGCUCCCCCCCUCGCCCUCUCCCCCGUCCCGCCGCUGUCGGCUUCGUCGCCGUCUAUCCUCCUCACGUAUAUCCCCGCCGCACACCGCACCAUUCUGCGCUGAACCGCGCCGCGCUACGCGUAGCGACGGAUCUAUCCUAUCGCAUGACUCCGCAGCGUUACGCAACAGCCCGAGCGCGAGUGUGAACGCGGCGGUGUUGCCGUGCGUGUUGCGACGCGCGCGCGCGCGGCCUCGGCAGCUGAAGAGCGGAGGCGCGCGUGUACGAUACACACGCACGCACGCACAUAUGCAUGCAGCUACUACAGACCCUCGCGAGGCGUAAGGGCUCGGCUGGUUCGCGACAAGACGCAGAGAGACUACGGUGCUCCCGCUGAGAAUCCUAGGAUGUUCCAGAAUAAUGGCGCCAUCGUCCGUGGGGAUGUAGAUUACGUCAAAUUGAAGAAAAAAUUCCUCUAUCAUUUUUCAAGAAACCAUGUAAAAUGAUAAGUUAUUAACCAAUGAAGGUUCAUGAAUGAUUACACGUCAUGUGAUAGAUAAUUUGUGAUGAUAACGUUUAGCGCCGUGUGCUUGUAUAUUAGGCCAAACUUAAGAAAAAAAUCAUCUAACGAAGUUUGAUGUAUUAUCACGUAUAGUCAUGCGCUAAUCUUCUUUAAUUAAUAACUACUAAGAAUCUACGUGAUUAUUUACAAAAUGGUAGAAGACUUUUUUGUUAAUUAGAUUUAAUAUGACACAUGUUAAGAGAAAGAAAGAAGAACUUAAUCUCAAGUACAAGAAAAUGUACUGGUUACUUGGGCGGCGAUCGAAGUUAAAUGUGCACAACCAGUUAUUAUUGUAUAAACUAGUGCUAAAACCGGUUUGGACAUGUGGGCUGAAAUUAUGGAGUUGCACCAAGAAAUCCAAUAUCCAAAUAAUUCAAAACUUCCAAGACAAAGUACUGUGUGGAAUUGUGAAUGCAUGGUAUGCACGUAAUAAUGAUAUCCAUAAAGACUUGAAAAUGGUUACAGUCAACGAUGAUUAAAUCCAUAGUAGUGAAGCACGAAGUAUGGCUUCUAAAACACGACAACCUACUUAUGCUGAACCUAAUGGACCGAGACAACGUUGUGCGGAGACUCAAGAGGACCAAACCUUUUGAUCUAGUGUCGAAAGCACCUUAACUACUCAAAAAUCACUAGUAUAUAGAAGGAAAUAUUCAAUGGAAUAGUUCCUCACAAAAGUGAUACUACUGAAAUAUAAACUGUUAGAUAAG